UACAGAGGAUGCAAGCGUUAUCCGGAAUGAUUGGGCGUAAAGCGUCUGUAGGUGGCUUUUUAAGUCCGCCGUCAAAUCCCAGGGCUCAACUCUGGACAGGCGGUGGAAACUACCAAGCUGGAGUACGGUAGGGGCAGAGGGAAUUUCCGGUGGAGCGGUGAAAUGCGUAGAGAUCGGAAGGAACGCCCGCGGCGAAAGCGCGGUCCUGGACCCCACCUGACGCUGAGACGCGAAAGCCAGGGGAGCGAACGGG
rnacentral:rRNA from 1 species